rnacentral:tRNA from 1 species
GGCGGGGUAGCUCAGCUGGUUAGAGCGGCGGAUUCAUAACCCGCAGGUCGCGUGUUCAAGUCACGCCCCCGCUA